AGUGCUAUCGGUUAUAGUCAGUCAGCUGCGGUUUACUCUGAGGUGCCCUGUAUGCGUGUUUACUGUGGCGUCUAUCGGAAUGCAUAUUUAGUAUACGUGUGGGCAGUGAGUUGAGAAAGAACAACAAGCAGUAUAUGAACAAGCCCUAUAAGAGUCAGCUGCGGUUUACUCGGAGGUGCCUUGUAUGCGUGUUUACUGUGGCGUCUAUCGGAGUGCAUAUGUAAUGUACGUGUGGGCAGUAGAGUUGAGAAAGAACAAUGAGCAGUAUAUGAACAAGCUCUUAAGUGACUGUGAUGAAUUACAAUACUAGAUGUACAGUGAAAGACUCAAGAUAUGACUAGGUUUUGUAAAGUUCACCUACAGUACGAUGGAAGGUAAAUUUAUAAGAACUUUCCUUGAACAAUGAGCAGUAUGUGAACAAGCUCUUAAGUGACUGUGAUGAAUUACAAUACUAGAUGGACAGUGAAAGACUCAAGAUAUGACUAGGUUUUGUAAAGAUGACCUACAGUACGAUGGAAGAUAGAAACAACAGUUAACCAGUGGGACAGCUGAGAGGUUCACCAUAAAAGCAACAGUGAGCGGUGAGUACUUUAUUUCUCGAGGCACACAUUCACGUACUAUACAAAACCACAUGAUGAAAUGCUUUGAUGAACAUGACACCUUGGCGUCCUGUGCCAUCGGGUCACGGGCACCAUGGCUGAGGCACGGCAAGGUGGGUGGGUGGUUGCCCGGAAAACCUCACAGCCCCCUGGUAAACCCAAGACCCUCACCACGACUCAAGAGAAAAGUAAAAAUAUACAUUUGCUCCUCUAUUUACAUUCCACAUCUAAUUAUCACAGUUCCUUCAUUUUAGGGGGAGGCACGAGACUGGCAAUGAGCGACAAAAUUUACACAAGAGACUCUGUAAGAUGUAAGCAGAGGAGAGAGAUGCUCAGCCAGGUUUUGUUUGUAGGAGUUAUGCAUUUAUGAGUUAAUUAAUGAGUGAACUGGUAUUUGAAAGGACAAGAGAGACACCAGCCAGAGUUUCAGUGAAGUAAGUGAAGAAAGUAAAGAAAGAAGGAAAAGAGAGACUGAGGAGAGAAAUGGAAAGGGGAAAGGAAUAAAAGAAAAAAAGGGAGGGAAAAGAAAGAAAAGAAGAGAAGGAAGGAUAAAUUGACAGGCAACACACAAAAGUAAGAUAUCUGGAAUGACAUUGUUUUGAUCUCAUACUCUCUUGAGUGGAUUCAUUUAGUAUUCUAUGUGUAUACAUGUAAUUGAAUAAAGUGUGUG